UACGUAGGGUCCGAGCGUUGUCCGGAAUUACUGGGCGUAAAGAGCUCGUAGGUGGUUUGUCGCGUUGUUCGUGAAAACUCACAGCUCAACUGUGGGCGUGCGGGCGAUACGGGCAGACUGGAGUACUGCAGGGGAGACUGGAAUUCCUGGUGUAGCGGUGGAAUGCGCAGAUAUCAGGAGGAACACCGGUGGCGAAGGCGGGUCUCUGGGCUGAUACUGACGCUCAUGCACGAAAGCGUG
rnacentral:rRNA from 1 species